rnacentral:rRNA from 1 species
AAGCGGCAACAGCUCAAAUUUGAAAUCUGGCUCUCGGGCCCGAGUUGUAAUUUGUAGAGGAUGCUUUUGAUGCGGUGCCUUCCGAGUUCCCUGGAACGGGACGCCAUAGAGGGUGAGAGCCCCGUCUGGUUGGAUGCCAAAUCUCUGUAAAGCUCCUUCGACGAGUCGAGUAGUUUGGGAAUGCUGCUCUAAAUGGGAGGUAUAUGUCUUCUAAAGCUAAAUACCGGCCAGAGACCGAUAGCGCACAAGUAGAGUGAUCGAAAGAUGAAAAGCACUUUGAAAAGAGAGUUAAAAAGUACGUGAAAUUGUUGAAAGGGAAGCGUUUAUGACCAGACUUGGGCUUGGUUAAUCAUCUGGGGUUCUCCCCAGUGCACUUUUCCAGUCCAGGCCAGCAUCAGUUUUCGCCGGGGGAUAAAGGCUUCGGGAAUGUGGCUCCCUCCGGGGAGUGUUAUAGCCCGUUGCGUAAUACCCUGGCGGGGACUGAGGUUCGCGCUUCUGCAAGGAUGCUGGCGUAAUGGUCAUCAACGACCCG